GGAGAUUCAUAGAAGAUAUCACUCAAACUUAAAUGAGGGGAUAAAUGAAAGAGACAGACAAUGCAAAGAGAAACUCAAAGGGUAUGGUGAAAACAGAAACAGGAAAAUUAAGAAAAUGGGCCCCCCGCAAGACAUGCGCGGGAGGGGGCAGUGGACAUACAGAAUUAUGGGCCCCCCGCAAGACAGGCGCGGGAGGGGGCAGUGGACAUACAGAAUUAUGGGCCCCCCCGCAAGACAGGCGCGGGAGGGGGCGGAUAAAGAGAACUUUGGAAAAGUCAGGAAACCAGGACUGAAACAUAAAGCAGAAGAACCAGGAGACCGAUACAUAGUGAACAUUAUAGAGACUAUUAUAAUUUAUACAAAUUGAAAGAAAGUGAACAUCUAUAUUUUAUCUUUAUUACAAAAACAUUAAUAGUGAACAAUACAGAG
rnacentral:lncRNA from 1 species